GACGAACGCUGGCGGCGUGCUUAAUACAUGCAAGUCGAACGGAAAGGCCCUGCUUUCGUGGGGUGCUCGAGUGGCGAACGGGUGCGUAACACGUGAGUAACCUGCCCUUGACUCUGGGUUAACUUUAGGAAACUGGGGCUACUACUGGUUCGGCGCACCAGCUGCAUGGUGGGGGUUGGAAAGUUUCGGCGGUUGGGGACGGUCUCGAGGCUUAUCAGCUUGUUGGCGGGGUAGUGGCUUACCAAGGCUUUGCUGAGUAGCCGGCCUGGGAGGGUGACCGGCCACAUUGGGACUCGGGUGCGACCCAGACUCCUUCGGGAGGCAGCGGUGGAGAUUAUUGCGCAAUGGGCGGAAGCCGGAUACAACGACGCCGCGUGCGAAAUGACGGCCUUCGGGUUGGAAACCGCUUUCGCCUGUGACGAAUCGGGGGGGACGGUAAUAGGUAGAGAGGCACCGGCUAACUACGU
rnacentral:rRNA from 1 species